rnacentral:rRNA from 1 species
GAGUUUGAUCAUGGCUCAGAUUGAACGCUGGCGGAAUGCUUUACACAUGCAAGUCGAGCGGCAGCGCGGGGCAACCUGGCGGCGAGCGGCGAACGGGUGAGUAAUACAUCGGAACGUGCCCAGACGUGGGGGAUAGCCCGGCGAAAGCCGGAUUAAUACCGCAUGUGAUCUGAGGAUGAAAGCGGGGGACCUUCGGGCCUCGUGCGUUUGGAGCGGCCGAUGGCAGAUUAGGUAGUUGGUGGGGUAAAGGCUUACCAAGCCUGCGAUCUGUAGCUGGUCUGAGAGGAUGAUCAGCCACACUGGGACUGAGACACGGCCCAGACUCCUACGGGAGGCAGCAGUGGGGAAUUUUGGACAAUGGGCGAAAGCCUGAUCCAGCCAUUCCGCGUGCAGGACGAAGGCCCUCGGGUUGUAAACUGCUUUUGUACAGAACGAAAAGUCUUCGGUUAAUACCCGGGGAUCAUG